rnacentral:tRNA from 2 species
UGCCGGUUCGUCUAAUGGUAGGACACCGCCCUUUGGAGGCGGGUAUUGGGGUUCGAGUCCCUGACCGGCAGCAA